rnacentral:misc_RNA from 1 species
UCCCCGUUACCGGGGCAGUCUAGUCAGAGAAAUCCAACUGACUAUAGGGGUUGCGCUCGUUGAUGGACUUAACCAAACAUCUCACGACACGAGCUGACGACGGCCAUGCAUCACCUGUCACUGCGUUCACAAGGCACAGUCUCCUUUCGGAGACCUUCGCAGGAUGUCAAACCCUGGUAAGGUUCUUCGCUUAUCAUCGAAUUAAACAACACGCUCCACCGCUUGUGCGGGUCCCCGUCAAUUCCUUUAUGUUUUAGUCUUGCGACCGUACUCCACAGGCGGGAUGCUUAACGCGUUAGCUUCGCUACUACUCGGGUCGAUACGAAUAACAGCUAGCAUCCAUAGUUUACGGCGUGGACUAC